AUUAGUUCACACCAUUAACUUUUCAGAGUACUUAUUGUUUAUAUAUAAUUUUUAAUUACAUUAAAUUAAAUAACCAUAGAAGUUUUUCAUUUUUUGAUAAUAAUUAAUAAGAAAAACUUCAAAUACCACCUCUAUGAUUACACACUUUCUCACUUUAGUACCCUAUGAUUUAAAAUAUAUCAAUUUAGUGCCAUGUGGUUUCAUUUUUAUUUUUUUAUUAUCGAUUUCACUAAUUUUUUUCGUUAAAUUAGUGACAAACUUAAAACUAAAUGGUACUAUAUUGAAUAUUCGAUAAACCUAAGUAGGAUAUCUGAAGUUUCUUGUAUAUAAUUUAACGAAAUAUUAAUGAAAAAGCUAACGAAAAGAUAAAAAUUAAACCACAGAACACUAACUUAAUAUACUUUAAACCACAUGGUACUAAAGCGAGAAAGUACGAAACCACGGGGCGGUAUUUAAAAUUUACCCUUAUUAAUAAAUAUAAAAUAUGGUGUAUGAGA
rnacentral:lncRNA from 1 species